rnacentral:rRNA from 1 species
UACGAAGGGGGCUAGCGUUGCUCGGAAUCACUGGGCGUAAAGCGCACGUAGGCGGCUUUUUAAGUCAGGGGUGAAAUCCUGGAGCUCAACUCCAGAACUGCCUUUGAUACUGAGAAGCUUGAGUCCGGGAGAGGUGAGUGGAACUGCGAGUGUAGAGGUGAAAUUCGUAGAUAUUCGGAAGAACACCAGUGGCGAAGGCGACUCGCUGGACAAGUAUUGACGCUGAGGUGCGAAAGCGUGGGGAGCGAACAGG